UUUAUAUGUAAUUGAAGUAUAAAUUAAACUUAUAAAUUAAACUUAAGGAACUGUUGAUCUCUCAACUGCAAUUCACGGCUAUUUCCAUCAAACAGUGUGAGAAGAGUGUUACACAGAGGAAAAAAGUUAGUUUAAUUUUACUGAAGGUAGUUUCACCGUGUAGCAAGAGGAUGCAUGCAGUGGCGGAUCCCAUCAUAGUGAGGGUCAUCCGAACCCCUUCGGCGGAAAAUUAUACUAUGUAUACAAGCUUAAAAUUAUUUUUUCAUAAAUAUAUAGCGUUAUUUAGUUAACGCUGAACCCCCUUCGACUAAUUAUUUCAUUCACAUUUUUUUAUUUUAAACCCCUCAAUUAAGAUGCUGGCUCCGCCACUGGAUGCAUGUCUUACUAAAAGAAGAGUUGAUGAGUUGAUGCAUGUAGGAGACGACAUAGACAUGAGUAGUAGCAGCAUGUCUCGUGAAAAUAGAAGACUAAUAAGAACUGGAGGCGGCAUGAGAGAAAAUAUUGAGAAGGUCAUUCUUGCGAAGUAGACAAGAUGGCUUCAUGCAGUUGAUGAUGCACGGAUUAUGAAAAUAUAGGCUACCGUUGUGACUGUCAAACAAACACUGGAUGUUUGACAGCCUCAACCAUAGUGGUGACAAUUUUGACGGAUGAACCACUAUUAUAGCCAACUGCAGUGACACAUGCCGAUCUUAGUCCCAGUAAAAAUCACGGUUGGCUAUGAUGGUGGUUUCAUCCUUCAAAGUUGCCACCACUGUGACGGAGUCUGUUAAACCAAUGGUGUCUGGCGUGCAACCACUUUGGUAGCCUACACUUCCAUAGUCCACGCAACUGCAUGAAACCAUCCUGUCCACUCAAAGGAAACACCUUCUCAGUAUUUUUUUCCAUGCCGCCUCCAAAUCUUACUAAUCUUAUAUUUGCAUGGGAAGGUGUUGCUACUGGACAUGUCUAUGAUGUCUGCCACGUGUUCAAGACAAGCUCUCAUUUCCAUAUGAGAUCUCCAUUGAUACAUUCAGGGCAAAUCACUACUUUUGAAGUGGUUAAUUCAUCCAUUUUCCUUUUUCCAUCUGUCUAUCUUAUCAAAAAAUUUUACAAAUGAUGUUAGAUAUUUUAAAAAUUUAUUCCAAUAUAUUGGGAAAGAAUGUGAUUGAUGUGUUAGCCUAUAGGUACUUUUGAUAUUUGCGUAAAACAUCUAGUACCUUUUGAACUAUGAUCAAAUUUAUUACGACACACGCUAAAUCUCCUCUUAAAGCUGAGCGUAUUUUUGUCAGCCUUUUUAGCUGACGUGGCAUCUUUGAGUGGGCCCUAUUUUAUGUAAUAAAGAUGUCACAUCAGCACAAAAGGGUGACAAAAUACAUUAAAAUUGAGUUCAGGAUAUAAUAGGAUCCCUAUGAAGUUGGAGUGUGUCGUAGCAACUUUGAUGAUAGUUCGAGGAGUACUGGAUGCUUCUCUUUUGAUAUUUUAUAUCUAUGCAAAGUCUACUUUGUGUUCAAAUUUGUGUAUGCAGAUACAAGUGAACCAUAUCCUUCCAAAUAUAGUUAAUCACGAAACAGAGAAUAUAUCUCGAGGUGCACGCAAGUUGGAUGUCACUUAUGGUAAAAGAUAUUUGGAGAAACAAAGUUGCCCGUGACUAGAAAAUAAACUUUUAUAGUAGAGAGGUUGUCCACGAUAAGCGUUUGUGUUCAUGUAUUCUGAAAGAGAAAUUUUGUGUCAAAUCAAUGUACUGUUAUGAAUUUAUGGAUGUGGUUAUGCACUCAUGUAUAUAUAUACCUCAGUAUUUUUAUUGUUUAUAUCCUUGUAUAUACUCUUAUAUUUUCUA